AAGAAAGUGACAGAGCGGUUAUGUGGUCGACUUGAAAUCGAUACAUGGGGGUUCGACUCCUCCCUUUCUCG
rnacentral:tRNA from 1 species